ensembl:lncRNA
AUGUUUGUCUUUUCUGUUUUAAGUAUUGAUUGCCAUCUAGUCCUGAUUGCAGAGUUAAGCUCCAGCCCCAAUCCUGUACUGUUGAAGCAGCUGAUCAAGGUCUUCAUGAUCACCACACACUUCAGACAGGUGUGUGGACAGGCUGGAGAUAAACUCUGCAGGAUGCUGGUCCUCCAGAACACCACUGAUUUUGUGUCAGAUGCAGAUAAAGAGUCACCAGGAACAGGUCACUGCAUCUUUUGUCAUGUAGAUGCUGGAACGAAAAGCAGCCAGGCCACAGCAUCUAAAAUGGAGACUUCUAUUAAAGUGGCUCCGUAACGUAAGAGACUUGGACAGUGGAAGGAGCAGAAGAACCAGAAGAUCAGAGAUCAGGCAGAGCUCUACUGGUGCCUCUUAGGGGAUUGAUUUAUCUAUAAUUAUCUAUAAUAUCUACUUAAUUUUCUGAUGUAGUUAUAAUUGGUCAUUGUUCUGUUUUAUAUAUCUAUUCAAUACAUUCUAGUGUUAAAUAGUUUGGGGUCAGAAAGUUUUUUUUUUUUCUUUAAGAUAUUACUUGUAUUCAGCAAGGGUGCGUUAAACUGAUAAAAAAAAAUGCUGCUCUUUUAAAAGCUCUAUUCAAAAUAACCUGAAAAAAAUAUAUUACUGUUUCCAAAAAUGAAGCAGCACAACUGUUUUUGAGAUGAUAAAAAAAAAAUGUUUAUUGAGCACCAAAACAGAAUAUUUGAAUAAUUUAUUUUGGAUUGUAUGACACAGAAGACUGGAGUAAUGGCUGCUGAAAAUUAAACAUAGUAAAACAGUUUUUUUUUUUUUUUUUUGUUAAUUAAAACAGUUAUUUAAAAUUGUAAUAUUUCAUAAUGUUACUGCUUUAACUGUAUUUCUUAUCAAAUAAAUGUAGUUUUGGUGAGCA